GCCGGAGCGGCGGGACGGUCUUACGCGGAGCACUCAAAAUGCUCUGGGCGAAAGCCCAUGAGGGUUCGAAUCCCUCCUCCGGCA
rnacentral:tRNA from 1 species